GCACCUGUAGCUCAGCUGGAUAGAGUGUUACCCUCCGAAGGUAAAGGCCAUUGGUUCAAAUCCAAUCAGGUGCGCCA
rnacentral:tRNA from 1 species